UACGGAGGGUGCGAGCGCUGUCCGGAAUCACUGGGCGUAAAGGGCGCGUAGGUGGCGCGGGCAGUCAACGGUGAAAGUUCGGGGCUCAACCCUGAAUCGGCCGUCGAUACUCCCGAGCUCGAGCACUGUAGAGGCAGAUGGAAUUCCGGGUGUAGCGGUGGAAUGCGUAGAGAUCCGGAAGAACACCGGUGGCGAAGGCAGCUUCUUGGCUCAUUCCUGACUUUGAGGCACGAAAGCGUGGGGAGCAAACAGG
rnacentral:rRNA from 1 species